GUUGAUAGCUAGUUUUUUUUUUCGGUAAUUGUAUGCCUAUCAACUAGUUCCUUCUGCUAAUUUGUUAUUUCUAUGUAAUCUUUUGGAUAGAAAGACGAAUGAUCCUUUCAAGCUUCUAGCUGUUUCUCAGAGUGUUGAUUUUUUGUUUUUUUUUUUACUUGUGUCUCAGAGUGUAAAAAUUUAGAGGAGUAUUGGUAAUCUUUUUCCUUAUUAAUGGUUUUGAUUUUGAACUAUUUAGUGCUGUUUCCAUUGAAUGAGAUCAAAGCUGAGAUAAGCUAAGAUGGACUUUAUGAUGUCUAUAGUGUCAGUGGAAUCAUAAUGCCUUUCAACCUGACUCAAAAAUGAGAAAGUAUCCUAAUAUCCAAUAUCUUGCCCUAAUGCUGCCUUUUUCACCUCUCAUGAUAUAGAAACCCUAGUUGCUAAUUGGAGGCAUUGGGCAGUCUUUGGCCACUCGGUUGCCCACAUAUAAUCUCUUGAAGUGUUCCUCAGUGCUAUUAUGUUUAAACUAUCCCUAUUCACCUUCACUCUUUUUGAGUAUCUGAUUACAUAUUAGGAGCAUUGCUGAUAAAUUGAAAAUAAAAUGGCCCACAUAAUUUUGUAUGAGUUAUUGCUUGUGAAUUUGAUAUUAUUCCUAAGCUGGCUGUAUGGCAGCUUGUACGACUGAUCACUUAUUUCGAAACAGGC
rnacentral:lncRNA from 1 species